UUUUAUUCUCAGGGCGGGGCGAAAUUCCCCACCGGCGGUAAAUCUAUUCAUAGGUGAGCCCGCGAGCGCUCGAUUCGUCGAGGUCAGCAGAUCUGGUGAGAAACCAGAGCCGACGGUUACAGUCCGGAUGAGAGAGAAUGAAU
rnacentral:ncRNA from 2 species